GCAUCAAACGUACGGUUGCUCUAGUAAAGUAUUCUAGAUUCUUGGUGUUUAAUUUUAAUAACUUCUUCAAUAAAAUGAAUUUUAAAAGUAUAAUUUAUAUUGUAGCCACCAUAUUAUUAAUAAUGAUGUCGGGUGUAUCAGCUCCAGCUCCAAUAGCUCCUGACACGAAGGACCAUGUUCCCCCUCUUGUUGAUGUUGGAAACACUUUACCCACUAUUCCAAAUCCAGUUGCGCCCCUUGUCCCUGAAACUCUUGACACGAAGGACCAUGUUCCCCCUAAAUAACGGUAGUUCAAUUUACCAACAAAGCUGCAGUAUCCAAGAUCAGUUUCACAUUUUGAAAAUACAUAUGCUUAUUAAUACAUGUAUUUUGUAAAAUCAUCAUCUUUAUUUAUCAUAAUUAUUAUGUUUCAACCUUUAGAUUUUUCAAAUAACAAUGUAUUCUAAAAACAUAUUCUGUUUUCUAUCAUAUAAAUUAUAUCAUGUCUUAUACCAUAUAUUAAUAAAAACAAUAUUCGUC